rfam:Firmicutes bacterium CAG:240 genomic scaffold, scf163
GCCUCCUUAGCUCAACAGGUAGAGCAUGCGGCUGUUAACCGCAGGGUCGUAGGUUCGAAUCCUACAGGGGGCG